GAUGAACGCUGGCGGCGUGCCUAAUACAUGCAAGUCGAGCGAACGGACGAGAAGCUUGCUUCUCUGAUGUUAGCGGCGGACGGGUGAGUAACACGUGGAUAACCUACCUAUAAGACUGGGAUAACUUCGGGAAACCGGAGCUAAUACCGGAUAAUAUUUUGAACCGCAUGGUUCAAAAGUGAAAGACGGUCUUGCUGUCACUUAUAGAUGGAUCCGCGCUGCAUUAGCUAGUUGGUAAGGUAACGGCUUACCAAGGCAACGAUGCAUAGCCGACCUGAGAGGGUGAUCGGCCACACUGGAACUGAGACACGGUCCAGACUCCUACGGGAGGUAGCAGUAGGGAAUCUUCCGCAAUGGGCGAAAGCCUGACGGAGCAACGCCGCGUGAGUGAUGAAGGUCUUCGGAUCGUAAAACUCUGUUAUUAGGGAAGAACAUAUGUGUAAGUAACUGUGCACAUCUUGACGGUACCUAAUCAGAAAGCCACGGCUAACUACGU
rnacentral:rRNA from 1 species